rnacentral:rRNA from 1 species
UCGGGAGGCAGCAGUAGGGAAUCUUCUCCCAUGGAGGAAAAUUUGAGGGAGCAACACAGCGUGAGUGAUGAAGGUUUUCGCAUCGUAAAGGUGUGUUGUUAGGGAAGAACAAGUACCGUUUGAAUAGGGGGGUACAUUGACGGUACCUAACCAGAAAGCCCCGGCUAAAUACGUGCCAGCAGCCGCGGUAAUAUGUAGGGGGCAAGCGUUGUCUGGAAAUAUUGGGGGUAAAGGGCUCGCAGGGGGUUUCUUAAGUCUGAGGUGAAAGCCCCCGGGUCAACCCCGGAGGGUCAUUGGAAACUGGGGAACUUGAGUGCAGAAGAGGAGAGUGGAAUUCCACGUGUAGCGGUGAAAAGUGUAGAGAUGUGGAGGAACACCAGUGGGGAAGGGGACUCUCUGGUCUGUAACUGACGCUGAGGAGCGAAAGCGUGGGGAGAGAACACGAUUAGAUACCCCGGUAGUCCACGCCGUAAACGAUGAGUGAUAAGGCUAGGGGGUUCCGCCCUUAGAAAUC